GACGAACGCUGGCGGCGUGCCUAAUACAUGCAAGUUGAGCGCUGAAGGUUGGUACUUGUACCAACUGGAUGAGCAGCGAACGGGUGAGUAACGCGUGGGGAAUCUGCCUUUGAGCGGGGGACAACAUUUGGAAACGAAUGCUAAUACCGCAUAAAAACUUUAAACACAAGGUUUAAGUUUGAAAGAUGCAAUUGCAUCACUCAAAGAUGAUCCCGCGUUGUAUUAGCUAGUUGGUGAGGUAAAGGCUCACCAAGGCGAUGAUACAUAGCCGACCUGAGAGGGUGGUCGGCCACAUUGGGACUGGGACACGGCCCAACCUCCUACGGGGGGCAGCAGUAGGGAAUCUUCGGCAAUGGACGAAAGUCUGACCGAGCAACGCCGCGUGAGUGGAGAAGGUUUUCGGAUCGUUAAACUCUGUUGGUAGGGAAGAACGUUGGUGAGAGUGGAAAGCUCAUCAAGUGACGGUAACUACCCAGAAAGGGACGGCUAACUACGUG
rnacentral:rRNA from 1 species